AGCGGCGGACGGGUGAGUAACGCGUGGGUAACCUGCCUUACACAGGGGGAUAACAGUUAGAAAUGACUGCUAAUACCGCAUAAGACCCCGAUACCGCAUGGUACAGAGGUAAAAACUGAGGUGGUGUAAGAUGGACCCGCGUCUGAUUAGGUAGUUGGUGAGGUAACGGCUCACCAAGCCGACGAUCAGUAGCCGGCCUGAGAGGGUGGACGGCCACAUUGGGACUGAGACACGGCCCAGACUCCUACGGAAGGCAGCAG
rnacentral:rRNA from 1 species